UACGAAGGGGGCGAGCGUUGUUCGGAUUUACUGGGCGUAAAGGGCGCGCAGGCGGCUAUCCAAGUCAGGCGUGAAAGCCCCGGGCUUAACCCCGGGUCUGCAUUCGAUACGGGCUAGCUAGAGUGUGGUAGGGGAGAUCGGAAUUCCUGGUGUAGCGGUGAAAUGCGCAGAUAUCAGGAGGAACACCGGUGGCGAAGGCGGAUCUCUGGGCCAUUACUGACGCUGAGGAGCGAAAGCGUGGGGAGCGAACAGG
rnacentral:rRNA from 1 species